CUCCCCCUUAAAGAAAAACAAACAAAAAACCCAUUACCCCGCCAAUAGGUGGCUUUAAAAUAUUAAAUCGGUGUUCGGAUUUUUGUGCAGGAUACUGUACAGUAGUGGAUUUAUCCCAUGUGUACCGGGGAAGCUUUUUCGUUUUUAGUGUGUUGGAACGAGAUUAAGGAGAGUGGCUGACGUCGACAUUGGCCAUGAAAUAGACUAUUUGUUAGGUACAAAUAUUCAGCCAUCGGUAUUUUUUUUAAUUGUUUUUAUUUCGCCAGAUGUAUUUUUGUUUUCGUCUUUCCUUUCGAAAUACAUUUCUGUAUUACAUUGAA